ensembl:lncRNA
UGGGCAAAAUAGGCACAGACAAAGCUGGGCACAAUGGGUAGGGACAGAGCUGAGCACAGCACAAUGGGUAGGGACAGAGCUGGGCACAGUGAGUGUGGACAGAAAUGGGCAUAGUGGGCAUGGAUGGAGCUGGGCACAAGGGUGUGGAGAGAGGUGGGCACAAUAGACACAGACAAAGAUGGGAACAGUGGGUAGGGACAGAGCUGGGCACAGCACAGUGAGCAUGGACAGAGCUGGACACAAUGGAUAUGGAGUGAGAAGGGCACAAUGGUCACAGACAGAGCUGGGCACAGUGGGCAUGGAUGGAACUGGGCACAGCACUAUGGUCAUGGAGAGAGCUAGGCAGAAUAGACAUGGGCAGAGCUGGGCACAGUGGGCAUGGACAGAGCUGGCCACAGGGUAUGGGCAGAGAUGGGCACAGCACAGUGGGUAUGGACAGAGCUGGGCAUGGUGGACAUGGAAGCUGCUGGUGUAGGAGAAAGAGCUGAAGAAAUAAUGGACGAUUUGAGGACAGCUAUGUUCCCUAAGAAGGUUUUACUUGCAAAGAAGAACAGAUGGAGGGAGAGGCAGAGAAGGAGUUUGUAAGAGAUUUAAAAGUAAGCCAGUCCUGUGAAUACAGGUUUUACAAGGCUCUUUAAUAAAAACCAGAAUGCCUUGAGAUGUAGCAAUAAAAACAGACCACAUAACCUACAAAUAGCUUCUGGGGGAGAUGAUUAUAGUGCCAGGAAAAGUAAUGUGUAUAUGCCGACAGAUAGAAAUCCCUGAAAGACAAAUAAAAGCCUCAGAGAAUGACCCAGGGAUAGUUUAUGAACUGAAAAGGAAGAGUUUGGGGUCAUUUGGCUUAGCUGUGAGCCCAGAUAUUGGGCAGCCACUCAGCAAAGCCCCAAAAGCGGCCACCCUGAGGCUUGAACAGUCUUUGGGGAACGACCAGAAAGAUCUGGGCAGGAAUUGGGCUAAUUGGAAACAGAUGGAAUUGAGCAGCCCUGAACCUCACACAGCCUGAGAGCAUCUCCACGCUCAAGGCUGUGUAGCCCAAAGGAGGUGGGAAAGUUUCAUGCAAAUCCUACAGCACAACUGUGAUAGAGCCCGGACCUCCUGUGAAGUCCUUGAACCUCCCAAAUCCCAGCUGGAAACCAAAAAUGCCCCCAAAUAAUCAAUUCCUCUCAGUGGGGGGAAUGCAAUAAACAAUCACGUUCUCAUUGAGAUUCAACCAGAGAUUUCUUUUCCCCCCCCUGAUGUUUCAGACAGAAAAACCAUUGUUCUUGCAGAACAAUGUGCUGGUUUAUGGAUUCCAGCAAGAGGGAACAGCAGAGCUAACGGAGCAUGGGGGGACUGAAAUACAAACACUGCAGAACAGCAGACUGUGGGAAGUCAGAAGGUGCCCAGCAUUGAGAGGGACGUUCUGAAGCUCUCCCAGUAUGGGAUGGUGAAGCUGAGGGCUCAGACAUUGGUCUGAGUGGUGUCACCAAACCUCAAGCAGCUGUGGUGGCAUAAAGAGCUCGGGAGGGAGAAAAAGCACAAGGAAAAAUGGUGGGAGGAUGGGAAAAGACACCGAGGGGGAAGGGAAGUGGAAGCACGAGUUUGUGGCCACACAAAGAAGGGAAAAUGAUGUUAGCCCUACACUCGGGAUGGAUUUCCUCUUGAUGCCAGUCAACUUCGCCAUCCACAACCUCAGCUGGUGCCACGUGCCCCGGAGUCAUGGAGAAGCUCAAACCCUCUCUGCCUCCAUAGGAGAGGUGGAUAUCUUCUGGGGUAAAAAAAGGAAGCUGCCCAUCAAGGAGCCUGGAAACAGAACAGCUUUUUCCGUUUGAGGAUUAGAAGGUUAAAGGUGUUGGUUUCACCAACACGAGUCAGCUCCACCAAGGGUUGGGAUGUGCAAAUUUCGGGGUGAAAAAAGCUAUGGGAUUUAGGUGUAUUUUAGUAAACGCAAAGUUUAACCAUUUUCUGUCAUCUUCCAAAAGAAAUCGUUGCCUUUUUGAUACGACCUACACAGCCAGCCCUCUGUGCUAAAGGUCAGCACACAUUGUAUUGCUUUCCCAUCCCAG